rnacentral:rRNA from 1 species
UCAAGCAGAAAGGGCACAGGGCGGAUGCCUUGGCACUAAGGGCCGAAGAAAGACGUGAUAAGCUGCGAUAAGCUUCGGGGAGGAGCAAAUAUCCAUUGAUCCGGAGAUUUCUGAAUGGGGAAACCCACACGAGGAAACCUCGUGUAUCCAUACGCCAAUCCAUAACGUAUGGAGGGGAACCCGGGGAACUGAAACAUCUAAGUACCCGGAGGAAAAGAAAGAAAACUCGAUUCCGUAAGUAGCGGCGAGCGAACGCGGAAGAGCCUAAACCAGAUCGCGUGCGAUCUGGGGUUACGGACUGCAUUUAAGAUUCUGUGAUGUUAGUAGAACGGUUUUGGGAAAGCCGGCCAGAGAGGGUGAAAGCCCCGUACACGAAAACAGAGCAGACUGAGCAGGAUCCAGAGUACCGCGGGACACGAGAAACCCUGCGGGAAGUAAGGGGGACCACCCCCUAAGGCUAAAUACCACUUAGUGACCGAUAGCGCAUAGUACUGUGAAGGAAAGGUGAAAAGGACCCCGGGAGGGGAGUGAAAGAGAACCUGAAACCCUGUGUCUACAAGCUGUGGGAGUGCUUUAUAUGCACGACCGCGUACUUUUUGUAGAACGGUCCGGCGAGUUGCGCUCACUGGCAAGGUUAAGAUCUUAAGGAUCGGAGCCGUAGGGAAACCAAGUCUUAACAGGGCCAGAGUCAGUGGGGGCAGACCCGAAACCGGGUGAUCUAUCCAUGUCCAGGUUGAAGCUGCCGUAAGAGGCAGUGGAGGACCGAACCCACAUCCGUUGAAAAGGGUGGGGAUGAGGUGUGGAUAGGGGAGAAAUUCCAAUCGAACCCGGAGAUAGCUGGUUCUCCUCGAAAUAGCUUUAGGGCUAGCCUUGGUAGAGAUUUGCGGAGGUAGAGCACUGAAUUUCCUAGGGGGCGUCAAAGCCUACCGAAGAAUAUCAAACUCCGAAUGCCGUGUAAUUACUUACCAGGAGUCAGACUACACGAGAUAAGUUGGGUGGUCAAAAGGGAAAGAGCCCAGACCUUCAGUUAAGGUCCCAAAGUGUGCGUUAAGUGGAAAAGGAUGUGGGAUUUCGAAGACAACCAGGAUGUUGGCUCAGAAGCAGCCAUUCAUUCAAAGAGUGCGUAAUAGCUCACUGGUCGAGAGGUCCUGCGCCGAAAAUGUCCGGGGCUGAAACGCACCACCGAAACUAAGGAAUCUAGUAAUAGAUUGGUAGAGGAGCAUUGCAUGCGGGAUGAAGCAGUACCGUAAGGAGCUGUGGACUGCAUGGAAGAGAGAAUGCCGGAAUGAGUAGCGAGAUAGAGGUGAGAAUCCUCUAGGCCGAAUAUCCAAGGUUUCCAGGGUAAAGCUGAUCUGCCCUGGGUAAGUCGGGGCCUAAGGUGAGGACGAGAGUCGUAGCCGAUGGACAACAGGUGGAGAUUCCUGUACUAUGAUAUGACAGAACUGUGGGGACACGUGCAGAGAGCGGAAGCCGGGAAUGGAAUCCCGGUGCAAGCGAGGUACCAGUCGCAUUGGAAAAACCGUGCGGCAAUGGGAAGACGUGAUGCGGAGUGAAAUAUAGUAACGAAGUCCGUGAGCUGUGCGUCAAGAAAAGCCGCUAUUGUUCAUACCAUACCCGUACCGUAAACCGACACAGGUGGAUGAGGAGAGAAUCCUAAGGCCGGCGGAAGAAGCAUUGUCAAGGAACUCGGCAAAAUGACCCCGUAACUUCGGGAGAAGGGGUGCCACUGAGAAGUGGCCGCAGAGAAUAGGCUCAAGCAACUGUUUAGCAAAAACACAGGUCUAUGCGAAACCGUAAGGUGAGGUAUAUGGGCUGACGCCUGCCCGGUGCUGGAAGGUUAAGAGGAGAGGUUAGCGCAAGCGAAGCUUUGAAUUUAAGCCCCAGUAAACGGCGGCCGUAACUAUAACGGUCCUAAGGUAGCGAAAUUCCUUGUCGGGUAAGUUCCGACCCGCACGAAAGGC